UGGACCAAGUAGCUUCACCAAGUUGCAAAAAAAUUAUUAGAUGUCUCAAACUCAAACUCUUAAUAACUAAACUUUCCCACCAUGUUACAAUUAUUCAUAAAGUGAAGGAAAAAAAAUGUUAAUAUCAACAUCAAGCUUUUGUGUUUAUCCAAAAAUAAAUAGAGGAAAGUUGAUAAGAAAAAUUAAAAUUUUGUAUUUAUCAUUAGUAGAGGAAAAGUUAAUAAGAACAAUUAAGAUUUUGUGUCUAUCUCAAAAAAUUGCUUCAAUUUUUUGCUUACCUUCAAGUAUAUCUAAAACUUGAGAUUAGAUCAUAGGGAAUAAAUCAAUUGGGAAAAAAAAAAUUUUAAUUAUAAAUAUUUUUGCUCUGCCUCCCUUGAACUGCUCAUUCGGACUAUGCUCUCUCUAUCAUGAAGGUGUAUCAGCAUCCUUAUCCAAUAGGAAAUGGGUUAGCAAUGGAAGCUAUAAUGGAAGCACCACAAUGUAUUGUACCAGGCCAGAUUGUGUGGAUACUUUAAGCAUGCCAACAAUGAAAGCUACGAGUUCUAUUUUCCUCUCCAAGGAAGUCUUCUAUAAAGAAACAAAAUAAGGGACACCCAUUUCAGUUCUUGGUUUCCUUAAGGGCCCGAGAACCGAAGAAUGAUACAAUGAGAUGUGGUCAUCACUAUAAAAGCAUUGUAAGCCCAAAGAGGGGAUUUACUAGAGGAUAGGAGGAGAAGAGACAAAAGACUCCUAGGAAGUCCGAAUGAGGAGGAUGGGGUUUAGAGAGAGAAUCAUGGUAGGUAAAGGAAGUUUCUAGUAAAAGGUCAUCUACUGCCUCCGCAUUAAAUGACUGGCAACAGCUUUAUCAGCUGCAUUGAUGAGGAAGUGACCUGAACAGUGGAAUUCACAGCUAAGCAGUUCCUUCUACCACAUUCAACAAAAGUUUAAGGGGACAAGUGUCAUAGGGAGAGUCUGGGUAAGUGGAGACGAAGGGCCAGGAUACGAUGGGCCGAUGAGUAUAUAAAGAAAGGGAACUUCCAGAUGACAGGGAUCCAGAGAAAAAUAUUCUAAGGACAGAAAUUAGAGAAAGAACAUUAAGAGAGAGAGAAAGUGAACAACAAAUCACUUAUUGUUUUAGCUUUGUCCUCGGGCGAGCUUGUAAAGAGCCUCUUAUACAUUAAACUGUGACUUCCAGUUGUUCCUUCUCUGUUUAUAUCCUUGGGCUAAGCCCUUCCCUUGUUUUACCCCACUCUCUUUUUAAAUAUUUAUUGA